rnacentral:rRNA from 1 species
UGGCGCCCGGAAUCAUGCCCGAAGGGUAGACCUCCCACCCUUGUGUAUUAUUACUUUGUUGCUUUGGCGAGCUGCCUUCGGGCCUUGUAUGCUCGCCAGAGAAAAUCAAAACUCUUUUUAUUAAUGUCGUCUGAGUACUAUAUAAUAGUUAAAACUUUCAACAACGGAUCUCUUGGUUCUGGCAUCGAUGAAGAACGCAGCGAAAUGCGAUAAGUAAUGUGAAUUGCAGAAUUCAGUGAAUCAUCGAAUCUUUGAACGCACAUUGCGCCCCUUGGUAUUCCGGGGGGCAUGCCUGUUCGAGCGUCAUUUCAACCCUCAAGCUUAGCUUGGUAUUGAGUCUAUGUCAGUAAUGGCAGGCUCUAAAAUCAGUGGCGGCGCCGCUGGGUCCUGAACGUAGUAAUAUCUCUCGUUACAGGUUCUCGGUGUGCUUCUGCCAAAACCCAAAUUUUUCUAUGGUUGACCUCGGAUCAGGUAGGGAUACCCGCUGAACUUAAGCAUAUCAUAACGGGGGAAAAAAAGAAUCGGUAAGAAGUUCAUGCCCGAAAGGGUAGACCUCCCACCCUUGUGUAUUAUUACGUUGUUGCUUUGGCGAGCUGCCUUCGGGACUUGUAUGCUCGCCGAGAAAAUCAAAACUCUAUUUAUUAAUGUCGUCUGAGUACUAUAUAUAGUUAAAACUUUCACAACGGAUCUCUGGUUCUGCAUCGAUAAAAAAGCACGCAUGCGAUAGUAAUGUGAAUUGCAAAUCAUGAAUCAUCGACUUGAACGCACAUUGCGCCUUGGUAUUCCGGGGGCAUGCUGUUCAGACGUCAUUCACCUCAGACUUAGCUGGGGUUGAGUCUAUGUCAGUAAGGCGGCUCUCAAUCAUGGCGGCGCCCUCGGGUGCUCGAGAUAGUAUAUUUUCUCGUACAGUGCUCGGGUUGGUGCUGCAACAAUUUUUUUGUGACUCGGACAGUGGUACCGCUGACUAGCUAGUAUCGCAGGAAGAAA